UUUUAAUUUAACAAUAGUUGUUGUUGUGCUGUGUGCUUUCUAUAGGUUCUCUAACAAAUCAUUUUGUAGGUUAACCUACUUGGUCCUCAAAACACCUUUAUUAGCCAGGUAUUUUGUCUUCUGUUUCAUAGACAACGAAACUGAUUAUUGAAGUACUUCACUUACUUGCCCAGAGACUAAAGCAUUGGAAGUGGGAUUAGAAUGGGUCUGUGUAUAUGAUGGUCAACUUUAUAUGUCAAUUUUGGGGUGAUAUAUAUAUAUGCUCAAGUUUUUUCUGAGUGUUUCUUUUUUAUUUUUAUUUAUUUUUUUAUGUGAUAGAUAGAGUUAGACAGUGAGAGAGAGAGGCAGAGAGAAAGGUCUUCCUUCCGUUGGUUCACCCCCUAAAUGGCUGCUAUGGCCGGUGUGCUGCGCUGAUCCGAAGCCAGGAGCCAGGUACUUAUCCUGGUCUCCCAUGCGGGUGCAGGGCCCAAGGACUUGGGCCAUCCUCCACUGCCCUCCCGGGCCACAACAGAGAGCUGGACUGGAAGAGGAGCAACCAGGACAGAAUUUGGCGCCCGUAUGGGAUGCUGGCGCCACAGGAGGAGGAUUAACCAAGUGAGCCAUGGCACCGGCCAUGAGUGUUUCGUUUUUUCAAAAGAGUUUGUUUCUCUUUAUUUAUUUGAAAGGCAAAGUAGAAGAGAGAAAUUAAUUUCAGAAAACAUCUGCAAAAGUUUUUGUCUGGCCCAGAAUCUCAGGAAUGUCGCUGUCAUGGAUUCUUCUUAGUGUGGAUGAAAUCAAGGGAAGUGGGUAGGAGAGCUUUCUAUCACCCUAAACAGCAGUCACUGCCUUGCCAUUUAGGCGAAAUAUCACCAAACCAGUGGUUCCCUUAAGGUUCUUGUUAUAGGCACAGCAAAAUGCUGGCUGCACUUACGCUGGAGGAGCUACACAUUUUUAACCCACAUUGAAAGAAAACAGAGAUCAUUCCGUUUAUUACUCACUUUAUGGAGAAGUUUAAUAGAUGAAAUGCAUUAGCU
rnacentral:lncRNA from 1 species